rnacentral:rRNA from 1 species
UGGGGAAUAUUGGACAAUGGGGGCAACCCUGAUCCAGCAAUGCCGCGUGUGUGAAGAAGGUCUUCGGAUUGUAAAGCACUUUCGACGGGGACGAUGAUGACGGUACCCGUAGAAGAAGCCCCGGCUAACUUCGUGCCAGCAGCCGCGGUAAUACGAAGGGGGCUAGCGUUGCUCGGAAUGACUGGGCGUAAAGGGCGUGUAGGCGGUUUACACAGUCAGAUGUGAAAUCCCCGGGCUUAACCUGGGAGCUGCAUUUGAUACGUGUAGACUAGAGUGUGAGAGAGGGUUGUGGAAUUCCCAGUGUAGAGGUGAAAUUCGUAGAUAUUGGGAAGAACACCGGUGGCGAAGGCGGCAACCUGGCUCAUGACUGACGCUGAGGCGCGAAAGCGUGGGGAGCAAACAGGUUAGGAUACCCUGGUAGUCCACGCUGUAAACGAUGUGUGCUAGAUGUUGGGUAACUUUGUUAUUCAGUGUCGCAGUUAACGCGUUAAGCACACCG